rnacentral:rRNA from 1 species
ACGCUCGACACCUACGGGAAGCAGCAGUAGGGAAUCUUCCACAAUGGGCGCAAGCCUGAUGGAGCAACACCGCGUGAGUGAAGAAGGGUUUCGGCUCGUAAAGCUCUGUUGUUGGAGAAGAACGUGCGUGAGAGUAACUGUUCACGCAGUGACGGUAUCCAACCAGAAAGUCACGGCUAACUACGUGCCGANCNCGCCGGAGUAUCNGNGGCGGNGNGAGAG